GCGCCCAUAGCUCAGCCGGACAGAGCAGCGGCCUUCUAAGCCGACGGUCGGAGGUUCGAGUCCUCCUGGGCGCGC
rnacentral:tRNA from 14 species